UACAGAGGUCUCAAGCGUUGUUCGGAUUCAUUGGGCGUAAAGGGUGCGUAGGCGGCGCGGUAAGUCGGGUGUGAAAUUUCGAGGCUUAACUUCGAAACUGCAUUCGAUACUGCCGUGCUAGAGGACUGGAGAGGAGACUGGAAUUUACGGUGUAGCGGUGAAAUGUGUAGAUAUCGUAAGGAAGACCAGUGGCGAAGGCGGGUCUCUGGACAGUUCCUGACGCUGAGGCACGAAGGCCAGGGGAGCAAACGGG
rnacentral:rRNA from 1 species